GGUACCAGACCUGGAUGGCUCUUGUCCACAUUAUGCAUGAGGAUUCCCCAUUUACCACUGCAAGUUGGACUUCUUUCCACUUUUUAAGAUGGAGCUAUUUGCGCUUCUAUUCUGUAUCCCCAGCUCGUCUUUAGAUGCUGCUGACAUCUGAAGGAGAGUGGUGUUCUCAGUAAUAGUCUGGAAAAUGUCAACAUUUGUAGAACUAGAUUGGAGUCCUUUCUAGAUGGUGAUGAAUGGAAAAGAGCUAUUAAAGAAAUUACUUUGCUUUUAGUAAAUGGGCAUAACAAAUUAAUCCUUGUUCAUAAUCCCUGGCUCGCUCUUCAGGAAGAUGCCUGUGCUGUUACCAAGCAAGCAGGAAUUCUAUCCGUGCUCUUUGAAUGCGCCCGACUCUGGGUAUAAUUGAUUCCCUUCUGUUCCUUCCUAGCAAUCCUACAGAGACUGUACGGUUACGUACUCUCUCAACAGUUUGAAAGGAUAGGAUUUCCCUUAGGAGGGAUCAGAUGAUUAGCUUAUAAAUAGUAAAUGCCUGUUCAGGCCUACUUUAGAGUGCAUGUUAUUUGGUUUCUGUCUUGCUCUCUGCGCUGCUGCUAAGUCUUCACAACAAAUAUAACCUCAUCUGGCACCUCAAGGUGCAGAGCCAAGCCCAAGAAAAAAAGGUGUACUUUUCAUCAGAGAUAAUGAAUUUCAGUGAGCUUCAGAGCCUUUGAGAAAGGAAACAGUCCUGGUGCUAGUUGCUACUGUACUGGGCUAUGAUUAUACCCCAGGGAGGAGUGUGAUUAUUUGCCUGUGCAGGAAAACUAGCUCGACUAACUGGGAGCAUGAGUUCAAAAUGAAACUGAAACACAUUCAGUGGUUGAAUUCCUUUGGAGAUGAGCCUCUUUUCCUGCUAGAAAACCUCCGCCAGUGCCAGGGAAGUCCUUCUCUUUAAACCUAAAAAAUAAGUUCUUGGAGUUCUCUAUGGAGCAACAUUCCCCCCCCCCCCAAAUAAAUAAAUAAAUAAAUAAAU
rnacentral:lncRNA from 1 species